rnacentral:rRNA from 1 species
GAUGAACGCUAGCGGCAGGCCUAAUACAUGCAAGUCGAGCGGCAAGUCGAGGAGUAAUCUGAGACCUAGAGCGGCGCACGGGUGCGUAACGCGUAUGCAACCUACCCUUUACCGGGGGAUAGCCCGGGGAAACCCGGAUUAAUACCCCAUAGUAUAUAGAGACUGCAUGGUUUUUAUAUUAAAGAUUUAUCGGUAGGGGAUGGGCAUGCGUAGGAUUAGUUAGUUGGCGGGGUAACGGCCCACCAAGACUGUGAUCCUUAGGGGUUCUGAGAGGAAGGUCCCCCACACUGGCACUGAGAUACGGGCCAGACUCCUACGGGAGGCAGCAGUAGGGAAUAUUGGGCAAUGGGCGGGAGCCUGACCCAGCCAUGCCGCGUGCAGGAAGAAGGCGUUAUGCGUUGUAAACUGCUUUUAUACGGGAAGAAAAG